UUCAGAUUGCAGGCUGCAACUCGCCUGCAUGAAGUCGGAAUUGCUAGUAANCGUAGGUCAGCAUACUACGGUGAAUACGUUCCCGGGCCUUGUACACACCGCCCGUCAAACCAUGAGAGUUGGCAACACCCGAAGUCGGUAGUCUAACCGCAAGGAGGACGCCGCCGAAGGUGGGGUUGAUGAUUAGGGUUAAGUCGUAACAAGGUAAC
rnacentral:rRNA from 1 species